rnacentral:lncRNA from 1 species
CCGGCGAUGGCGCACGAGGAGGAAGGAGGAGACAGAGACAACAACCACCCCCCAGCGUACUAAACUAUGUAGCGGCGUCUAAAUAAGAUCCUGUCAACUGCGUGCGUGCACCGCCAUUAUUCAUGCAUGGUCGCCGGCCUCGUCUCCGUCUCCGAUCCUGGGGUUGUUCAUCUCCAACGUCUCGCGGUUUGACGAUUGCCGUCGUCGUCGAUCCUAUGUCCGCCUCGUGCCUGAUCUAAUAUAUGUGUUUUUUUUCUGCAUUACCUGUGCUUUCUCUGUCUGUCUGUCUGUCUGUCUGUCUGUCUGUCUGUCUGACGGGCCCAUGCGUCAGCGUCACUGCUUGCUUCUUUCUGUGUCUGAUUCUGACGAGAUGCUGCAAAAAAAUCUAAGAACCUCUUUGCAGUGCUACAAAAUUCUGAGAUGGAAAAAAUAUGUGUGAAAGCGAAAACAGGGCUGCAUCACUCAAAGUUGGUGCUAAACAGCGGCACACUCCUGCAAGAGCUCUAACCACAAGUCCAUGGCUCAUGGCAGUAUUGUUAAUCAUAGCUCUGGCAUGCAUGAUUAUAAUUUAUACUAGAAUAGAGGAAGGAGAAAAAAAACAGGAGCAAAAUGAGGAACAGAAAGUUACUAGCGAGUAGCGACUAAUGGCGCUGCUUUGAACGAACGCAAGAUUUUGCAGAAUGCAGAGUACCCUGAAAUUUGGAAAAUCAAUAUGACCAGCUACAGUUUCAUGCUACUAUUCGUGAUUUUUCUCUUUUCCUUUAGAUAAUGGAAAAUUGAUAUCUAAGUAACUGAGCAAAAAAAGGAAAGGAUAUGAAGUAUCCUAGGUCAGCACAGUAAGUCUCUGAAAAGACUUUUCAGAAUGCCGAGUACACUGAAAUUUGGAACAUCAACGUGACCAACUACAGUUUCAGGUUACUGUUCUGAGUGUUCUGGCUUUUUGUCUUCU